AGCGGGGUGGAGAAGUAGUAUCUCACGAGGCUCAUAACCUCGAGACCCGGGUGCAAAUCCCGGCCCCGCAA
rnacentral:tRNA from 2 species